UAACAGGAUUAGAUACCCUGGUAGUCCACGCCCUAAACGAUGUCUACUAGUUGUCGGGUCUUAAUUGACUUGGUAACGCAGCUAACGCGUGAAGUAGACCGCCUGGGGAGUACGGUCGCAAGAUUAAAACUCAAAGGAAUUGACGGGGACCCGCACAAGCGGUGGAUGAUGUGGAUUAAUUCGAUGCAACGCGAAAAACCUUACCUACCCUUGACAUGGAUGGAAUCCCGAAGAGAUUUGGGAGUGCUCGAAAGAGAACCAUCACACAGGUGCUGCAUGGCUGUCGUCAGCUCGUGUCGUGAGAUGUUGGGUUAAGUCCCGCAACGAGCGCAACCCUUGUCAUUAGUUGCUACGAAAGGGCACUCUAAUGAGACUGCCGGUGACAAACCGGAGGAAGGUGGGGAUGACGUA
rnacentral:rRNA from 1 species